rnacentral:rRNA from 1 species
UACAGAGGUGGCAAGCGUUGUUCGGAAUUACUGGGCGUAAAGGGCGCGUAGGCGGUCUUGUCAGUCCCUUGUGAAAUCCCCCGGCUCAACUGGGGAACUGCAAGGGAAACAGCAGGGCUUGAGUUCGGGAGAGGGAAGCGGAAUUCCGGGUGUAGCGGUGAAAUGCGUAGAUAUCCGGAGGAACACCGGUGGCGAAGGCGGCUUCCUGGACCGGGAUUGACACUGAGGAGCGAAAGCUAGGGGAGCAAACGGG